rnacentral:rRNA from 1 species
UACGAAGGGUGCAAGCGUUAGUCGGAAUUACUGGGCGUAAAGCGUGCGUAGGCGGUUUCUUAAGUCUGCCGUGAAAGCCCCGGGCUCAACCUGGGAAUGGCGGUGGAUACUGGGAAGCUGGAGUGCGGUAGAGGAGGGUGGAAUUCCCGGUGUACCGGUGAAAUGGGUAGAUAUCAGGAGGAACACCCGUGGCGAAGGCGGCUCACUGGGCAUCACCUGACGCUGAGGCGCGAAAGUGUGGGUAGCAAACAGG